rnacentral:rRNA from 1 species
AACGAACGCUGGCGGCAGGCCUACACAUGCAAGCUGAACGGUAAAUGUUGUAGCAAUACGAUAUGAGAGUAGCGUAAGGGUGCGUAACACGUACGCAAUCUACCCGCAACAGGAGGAUAGCUCCCCGAAAGGGGAAUUAAUACUCCAUAAUAUCACGAGAGGGCAUCUGAUUGUGAUUAAACUCCAAGGGGUUGCGGAUGAGCAUGCGUCUGAUUAGUUAGUUGGUGAGGUAACGGCUCACCAAGACGAUGAUCAGUAGGGGAACUGAGAGGUUGAUCCCCCACACUGGCACUGAGAUACGGGCCAGACUCCUACGGGAGGCAGCAGUAGGGAAUAUUGGUCAAUGGAUGAGAGCCUGAACCAGCCAUGCCGCGUGCAGGAAGAAAGCCUUCUGGGUUGUAAACUGCUUUUGCCAGGGGAUAAAAUACCCAUGCGUGGGGAAUUGAAGGUACCUGGUGAAUAAGCCACGGCUAACUACGUGCCAGCCGCCGCCGUAAGAC